ensembl:misc_RNA Metazoa_SRP Metazoan signal recognition particle RNA
GCCGGGUGUGGUGGCACGUGCCUGUAAUCCCAGCUACUUGGGAGGCUGAGGCAGGAGAAUCGCUUGAACCCAGGAAGUGGAGGUUGCAGUGAGGUGAGAUCACACCACUGCACCCCAGCCUGGGUGACAGAGUGAGACUCUGUCUCAU